rnacentral:rRNA from 1 species
AUGGCAGAGGCCAGCCCUAGAACAGAAACGUCAACAGAUGAUACUGAUGAAAAUCUUAUGCUUGAACCAGGGAAUGCUGCUCUUGCUGUUGUUUCUGACUCUAGUGACAGAUCCAGAGACAAAAACGGAGAUCAAAAGACAAUGCGUCGGCUUGCUCAAAAUCGCGAGGCUGCUAGGAAAAGUCGUUUGAGGAAAAAGGCAUAUGUUCAACAAUUGGAGAACAGCAGGCUAAAGCUUACCCAGCUAGAGCAGGAGUUGCAACGAGCUCGCCAACAAGGCAUUUUUAUAUCUAGUUCAGCAGACCAGUCCCAUUCCAUGAGUGGAAAUGGGGCGUUGGCUUUUGACACAGAGUACGCACGGUGGUUGGAAGAACACAAUCGACAAGUUAAUGAGCUGAGAGCUGCAGUUAAUGCCCGUGCAGGCGAUACUGAGCUGCGUAGUGUUGUUGAGAAGAUCAUGUCACACUAUGAUGAUAUUUUUAAGCAAAAAGGAAAUGCAGCCAAAGCAGAUGUCUUUCAUGUGUUAUCAGGCAUGUGGAAGACACCAGCUGAGAGGUGUUUCCUAUGGCUUGGAGGUUUCCGACCUUCUGAGCUUUUAAAGCUUCUUUCGACCCAGCUUGAACCCCUAACUGAGCAGCAGCUGUCAGGGAUAUGCAACCUUCAGCAAUCAUCACAACAAGCUGAGGAUGCUCUUUCACAAGGAAUGGAGGCUCUUCAGCAGUCUUUGGCAGAAACGUUGGCUGGGUCUAUCGGCUCUUCUGGAUCUGGAUCAACAGGAAAUGUGGCAAACUACAUGGGGCAAAUGGCCAUGGCCAUGGGAAAGCUUGGAACCCUUGAAAAUUUCCUUCGCCAGGCUGACAACCUGCGGCAGCAGACUCUUCAGCAGAUGCAAAGGAUCCUGACCACAAGGCAGUCUGCCCGUGCACUUCUUGUGAUAAGUGAUUACUCAUCCCGGCUUCGUGCCCUAAGUUCUCUCUGGCUUGCUCGACCAAAGGAAUAA